GACGAACGCUGGCGGCGUGCUUAACACAUGCAAGUCGAGCGGUAAGGCCCUUCGGGGUACACGAGCGGCGAACGGGUGAGUAACACGUGGGUGAUCUGCCUCGUACUCUGGGAUAAGCCUGGGAAACUGGGUCUAAUACCGGAUAUGACCACGAAUCGCAUGGUUUGUGGUGGAAAGAUUUAUCGGUGCGAGAUGGGCCCGCGGCCUAUCAGCUUGUUGGUGGGGUAAUGGCCUACCAAGGCGACGACGGGUAGCCGGCCUGAGAGGGCGACCGGCCACACUGGGACUGAGACACGGCCCAGACUCCUACGGGAGGCAGCAGUGGGGAAUAUUGCACAAUGGGCGGAAGCCUGAUGCAGCGACGCCGCGUGCGGGAUGACGGCCUUCGGGUUGUAAACCGCUUUCGACAGGGACGAAGCGUGAGUGACGGUACCUGUAGAAGAAGCACCGGCCAACUACGUG
rnacentral:rRNA from 2 species